AGAGUUUGAUCAUGGCUCAGAUUGAACGCUGGCGGCAGGCUUAACACAUGCAAGUCGAACGGUAACAGGAAACAGCUUGCUGUUUCGCUGACGAGUGGCGGACGGGUGAGUAAUGUCUGGGAAACUGCCUGAUGGAGGGGGAUAACUACUGGAAACGGUAGCUAAUACCGCAUAACGUCGCAAGACCAAAGAGGGGGACCUUCGGGCCUCUUGCCAUCAGAUGUGCCCAGAUGGGAUUAGCUAGUAGGUGGGGUAACGGCUCACCUAGGCGACGAUCCCUAGCUGGUCUGAGAGGAUGACCAGCCACACUGGAACUGAGACACGGUCCAGACUCCUACGGGAGGCAGCAGUGGGGAAUAUUGCACAAUGGGCGCAAGCCUGAUGCAGCCAUGCCGCGUGUAUGAAGAAGGCCUUCGGGUUGUAAAGUACUUUCAGCGGGGAGGAAGGGAGUAAAGUUAAUACCUUUGCUCAUUGACGUUACCCGCAGAAGAAGCACCGGCUAACUCCGUGCAGCAGCCGCGGUAAUACGGAGGGUGCAAGCGUUAAUCGGAAUUACUGGGCGUAAAGCGCACGCAGGCGGUUUGUUAAGUCAGAUGUGAAAUCCCCGGGCUCAACCUGGGAACUGCAUCUGAUACUGGCAAGCUUGAGUCUCGUAGAGGGGGGUAGAAUUCCAGGUGUAGCGGUGAAAUGCGUAGAGAUCUGGAGGAAUACCGGUGGCGAAGGCGGCCCCCUGGACGAAGACUGACGCUCAGGUGCGAAAGCGUGGGGAGCAAACAGGAUUAGAUACCCUGGUAGUCCACGCCGUAAACGAUGUCGACUUGGAGGUUGUGCCCUUGAGGCGUGGCUUCCGGAGCUAACGCGUUAAGUCGACCGCCUGGGGAGUACGGCCGCAAGGUUAAAACUCAAAUGAAUUGACGGGGGCCCGCACAAGCGGUGGAGCAUGUGGUUUAAUUCGAUGCAACGCGAAGAACCUUACCUGGUCUUGACAUCCACGGAAGUUUUCAGAGAUGAGAAUGUGCCUUCGGGAACCGUGAGACAGGUGCUGCAUGGCUGUCGUCAGCUCGUGUUGUGAAAUGUUGGGUUAAGUCCCGCAACGAGCGCAACCCUUAUCCUUUGUUGCCAGCGGUCCGGCCGGGAACUCAAAGGAGACUGCCAGUGAUAAACUGGAGGAAGGUGGGGAUGACGUCAAGUCAUCAUGGCCCAUACGACCAGGGCUACACACGUGCUACAAUGGCGCAUACAAAGAGAAGCGACCUCGCGAGAGCAAGCGGACCUCAUAAAGUGCGUCGUAGUCCGGAUUGGAGUCUGCAACUCGACUCCAUGAAGUCGGAAUCGCUAGUAAUCGUGGAUCAGAAUGCCACGGUGAAUACGUUCCCGGGCCUUGUACACACCGCCCGUCACACCAUGGGAGUGGGUUGCAAAAGAAGUAGGUAGCUUAACCUUCGGGGGGGCGCUUACCACUUUGUGAUUCAUGACUGGGGUGAAGUCGGAACAAGGUAACCGUAAGGGAACCUGCGGUUG
rnacentral:rRNA from 1 species